CUGUGUGUGAGGUCUGCUGGUGUCUGACAGGGUCUGUGUGUGAAGACCCACCCUGUGUGUGAAGGUCCACCCUGUGUGUGAAGGCCCACCCUGUGUGUGAGGUCUACCCUGUGUGUGAGGUCUGCUGGUGUCUCUGACAGGGUCUGUGUGUGAAGCCCACCCUGUGUGUGAAGCCCACCCUGUGUGUGAGGUCUGCUGGUGUCUGACAGGGUCUGUGUGUGAAGCCCACCCUGUGUGUGAAGCCCACCCUGUGUGUGAGGCCUGCUGGUGUCUGACAGGGUCUGUGUGUGAGGCCCACCCUAUGUGUGAAGCCCACCCUGUGUGUGAAGCCCACCCUGAGUUUUUGAAACCUAAUGAGAGGAAAGUUUUCUUUGCUAAAGAACAGGAGGCUUGGGUAGGACCGUAGUCUGGAAGCCAACUUUAGAAAUGACCAUGUUGACAAGAGCCUCACACCUGAAAGCCUCCCUGGAGCAUGUGCCACCGUCCUUGGACAUUGGCGCUCUAGUCCCAGAAGGGGGAACGGUGAGGGGCUCACAGGCAGAGUUGAGGCCCAGAACAUACAUGGUGGGAGGAGAUGACCAGUUCUGGCCAGUUGUCUUACUGCUCUACAUGGGUCUGGUGUACUCACG
ensembl:lncRNA